AGGUGAAACAAUAUCCAUUUCAAAGAAAAGAAGAUUAUUUUUCAUGCUGAGAUUCAAAAUUCCAGUUCAUUUGCUUUCUGGUCACUGGGAAGGAAACUGCACCACCUGAGGCAUGUCUCACCUGGCCACCUCCGUUCAGGUGACGUCCCUGUUUAUUGCCUUGCCCCCGUGUAUGAAGGUAUGAUCAGACUUUUGGUGUGGAGACCUCAAGGAAACAGGUGGCUGAAAAGGCAGAGUGUGCGGCUGAAAAUACGUCACAUGUUAUCUCCUGGAAGAUGACUGCAUUGCUCACCAUCCUCACUUUCAUGGCAAGACAACAAAAUCCCUUAAGAAACCAUUUAUCUUUUGUGUCCAUUGCCUCUUGUCCUGUCACUGGAAAUCACUGAGAAGAGUCUGGCUCCUUCUCCAUUACUCCCUGCCAUCAGCGAGCCUCGCUGUCAUGCUGUUAUCCCUGCUUUUGUCAGCAUGGGCUUCGACUACUGCAAAGGCGCAGCCAGCUGCUUUGAAGCUCUGCAGCAACUGCAGGUGGCACAGCGACUGCAGCUAUCGCCUUCCUGCCUGGGAGAAACAGUCCUGCUACAGCGGCGCCAACAGGCGCAUCCAGCCUGCUGGUUUUAACUCAAAAACUCUUAGAUGGAUUGGGAUUC